rnacentral:rRNA from 1 species
UACGUAGGGUGCAAGCGUUAAUCGGAAUUACUGGGCGUAAAGCGUGCGCAGGCGGUUCUAUAAGACAGAUGUGAAAUCCCCGGGCUCAACCUGGGAACUGCAUUUGUGGCUGUAGAGCUGGAGUACGGCAGAGGGGGAUGGAAUUCCGCGUGUAGCAGUGAAAUGCGUAGAUAUGCGGAGGAACACCGAUGGCGAAGGCAAUCCCCUGGGCCUGUACUGACGCUCAUGCACGAAAGCGUGGGGAGCAAACAGG